UACGGGGGGAGCAAGCGUUGUUCGGAUUUACUGGGCGUAAAGGGCGCGUAGGCGGUCAGCACAAGUCAGUUGUGAAAUCUCCGGGCUUAACUCGGAAAGGUCAACUGAUACUGUGCGACUAGAGUGCAGAAGGGGCAACUGGAAUUCUCGGUGUAGCGGUGAAAUGCGUAGAUAUCGAGAGGAACACCUGCGGCGAAGGCGGGUUGCUGGGCUGACACUGACGCUGAUGCGCGAAUGCCAGGGGAGCGAACGGG
rnacentral:rRNA from 1 species